ensembl:lncRNA
AUGACCCCGGACCGUUGUGACCUGAGUUUUGGAUUAAAUAUCAGUUUGACCGCAUCUCCUUGUCUAUCGUCUCAUCGCUGUGCAUGUGGGUCCGUUCAUUGCCGCUCGCUGACAGAACGAUCUGGCCAGACUUGGACCCAGCCAGCGCCAACCUGCACCCAGGUCGGUUACGAGUUUCGUUCCCGUAUUUUCCUUUUUUUCCGUUUGUUUGGCUCCGUGCGCAAGUCACUCGCCGGAGCAAUGGAGUUUUACUGCCCGAGUCUGCCGGUGGAUAUUCGCGGAGACCUAGAGAGGUUCGCUAAGGCAUACGCGGAAGCGCACAGCCUUGAGGACCGUCUCCGCCACGUAAAGCAGGGCAUCGAAUUGCUGACGGCUGAGUUUUGGUGGCGUGCGUAUCCCGGAGUGCAGACGUACUACGAGAGACUUCAUUCGCUGCAGAGGGAAUUGGCGUGCGAGCUGCAUGCAUCGUCCGCCCGUGUCUCCGCAGCUGCUCCUACCGCUGUUUCAUCGCUUUAUGUUCCCGUUCCUGUUCCUGUCGCCGCUCCGGCGGCUCCAGCCCAAGUUCCAGUCGCCGUGGCCUCGUUUCACCAUGCGGACCCCGUUACAGAGGUCCGGUCCACACCGCUCCCAGCGCCUCAAACGACGGACAGUCGCAGCUGCUCCGGACGGCGACGGCGGAGGCGCGGUUCCAGGAUUCCGGGUCCCGCGGUCUCGGUCAUGGGGACCGAGCAGCCUCCUUCUCCGACAGAGGAGCCCCUUGAUUCUCCGACUGACUGUGUCCCUCUGAUAACAGGCAUCCCAGACAGCGUCGCCCGACGGGUCCACCUCCUCUGCUCUCCUCCAGUUGCGUUUCUCUUUGCCCAUCUCAUGAACACCGCCGAUUCGGCAGCAGACCAGGGCACGAGAGAACAAUUGUUCGAGGAAGCAGCCGCUCUCGUCCUGAGGGAACCUGUCCUGCGUGAGGUCCUGCAACUCCCGGUCCUGCAGCCAGCAGCCGCUUCAUGUCCCACCUCUCAGUCAGGUCAGUCGAGCCCUGUUCAGUCUCCAGUCCAGCCGAGCCCUGUUCAGUCUCCAGUCCAGCCGAGCCCUGUUCAUUCUCCAGUCCAGCCGAGCCCUGUUCAGUCUCCAGUCCAGCCGAGCCCUGUUCAGUCUCCAGUCCAGCCGAGCCCUGUUCAGUCUCCAGUCCAGCCGAGCCCUGUUCAGUUUCCAGUCCAGCCGAGCCCUGUUCAGUCUCCAGUCCAGCCGAGCCCUGUUCAGUCUCCAGUCCAGCCGAGCCCAGUCCAGGUCUCAGUCCAGCCGAGCCCAGUCCAGGUCUCAGUCCAGCCGAGCCCAGUCCAGGUCUCAGUCCAGCCGAGCCCAGUCCAGGUCUCAGUCCAGUCGAGCCCAGUCCAGGUCUCAGUCCAGUUCAGGUUCCAGUCCAGUCGAGCCCAGUCCAGUCGAGCCCAGUUCAGGUUCCAGUCCAGUCGAGCCCAGUCCAGUCACGCGCAGGUCUUAUCCCAGUCAGAGGACUCCACCUGUCGAACGGGUGCUGUGCACACCCGAUCAGGCCCGACGUCUCCUCCGUCGAGCUCGGCAGCUGUAAGCAGUCAUGCCGGCUCCGGAGGGGACGCCGUCCCAGUUCCUGUCGGCCAUGUUGCGGCCGUUCCUGUCGGCCAUGUUGCGGCCGUUCCUGUCGGCCAUGUUGCGGCCGUUCCUGUCGGCCAUGUUGCGGCCGUUCCUGUCGGCCAUGUUGCGGCCGUUCCUGUCGGCCAUGUUGCGGCCGUUCCUGUCGGCCAUGUUGCGGCCGUUCCUGUCGGCCAUGUUGCGGCCGUUCCUGUCGGCCAUGUUGCGGCCGUUCCUGUCGGCCAUGUUGCGGCCGUUCCUGUCGGCCAUGUUGCGGCCGUUCCUGUCGGCCAUGUUGCGGCCGUUCCUGUCGGCCAUGUUGCGGCCGUUCCUGUCGGCCAUGUCGCGGCCGUUCCUGUCGGCCAUGUCGCGGCCGUUCCAGUUCCUGUCCCUGUCGGCCAUGUCGCGGCCGUUCCAGUUCCUGUCCCUGUCGGCCAUGUCGCGGCCGUUCCAGUUCCUGUCCCUGUCGGCCAUGUCGAGGCCGUUCCAGUUCCUGUCCCUGUCAGUCUCGGGGUGGCAGUCCCCGCGCACCUCCAGGAGGGGGUCGCGCCCGCCGCAGUCCCGGCGGACCUCCAGGAGGGGGUCGCGCCCGCCGCAGUCCCGGCGGACCUCCAGGAGGGGGUCGCGCCCGCCGCAGUCCCGGCGGACCUCCAGGAGGGGGUCGCACCUGCAUCGGUUCCUGGCGGCUCGGCCGCACCUGCAUCGGUUCCUGGCGGCUCGGCCGCACCUGCAUCGGUUCCUGGCGGCUCGGCCGCACCUGCAUCGGUUCCUGGCGGCUCGGCCGCACCUGCAUCGGUUCCUGGCGGCUCGGCCGCACCUGCAUCGGUUCCUGGCGGCUCGGCCGCACCUGCAUCGGUUCCUGGCGGCUCGGCCGCACCUGCAUCGGUUCCUGGCGGCUCGGCCGCACCUGCAUCGGUUCCUGGCGGCCCGGCGCUGACCGCGUUGCCACGUCUGUUCUCGCUUCGGCAGCUGGACUGGUGGCCUCGCCCUCGGUGCUUCCGGCCGUUUGGGUGGCGCUGCCUCCUGCGGCGACGUCCACCUCGACCCCUCGGUCUCCAGGUUCGGGGGGGUCCCCGUGGACGCUGGCCCAGCCCAAGGGCGCUGGGGGUGCCCUCCUGCCUCAGCGGCGGUUGA